rnacentral:lncRNA from 10 species
CUUUUCCUGCAGAGGGUGCUUCACUAGAACAACUUUUCUGAUUUUUUAUUCCUUUGCAUACUCCUCUCUAGGAGAAGUGAAGUGGCUUAUGUUUUUCAUCAGUUUCAAAGCCCCCUCUUCUCAUAUUUUCUCCCCUCUUUGGGACCCAGCUGCCAAGGAACAGGCUUUGUGUCCCAUCCCCCAUGCGGUAUGUUUCACAUGGUGAGACCUCCAGCCCAUCAAGCUCUGUCUGUGCCUGGUUAAGACUCUAUCUUUAAUUUUAGGGUUGUUAUACCACUAUAUCAUGUUCUAGUGGUUGCUAUACCGCUAUAUCUAGUGGUUGAUAUAGUGGUUGUUAUACCUCUAUAUCAUGUUCUAGUCUAGUCAUAAUAAUGAAGGUGAUAUUCUAUUCUCCGUUUUCAGUUCCUUUGCCUGCAUUAAGCAUUCAGAAGUCAAGAAAAGAAGAGUGUGGUUUCUUGGGCUGCUUCAGAAGCCAAAAUUAAGGGGUUAAGAAAAUGGAACACAGGCACUUGCACAGGACUUUACUUACAUCUAUGGCAGCC